rnacentral:rRNA from 1 species
GAUGAACGCUAGCGGCAGGCCUAAUACAUGCAAGUCGAACGGUGUCUUCGGACAUAGUGGCGCACGGGUGCGUAACACGUAUGCAACCUACCUUACAUUGGGGGAUAGCCUUUCGAAAGGGAGAUUAAUACCGCAUAAGACAGUAGCUGGGCAUCCAGCAGCUGUUAAAGAUUUAUCGAUGUAAGCUGGGCAUGCGUCCAAUUAGCUAGUUGGUGGGGUAACGGCUCACCAAGGCAAUGAUUGGUAGGGGAACUGAGAGGUCAAUCCCCCACACUGGCACUGAGAUACGGGCCAGACUCCUACGGGAGGCAGCAGUAGGGAAUAUUGGGCAAUGGACGCAAGUCUGACCCAGCCAUGCCGCGUGCAGGAUGAAGGCGUUAUGCGUUGUAAACUGCUUUUGUACAGGAAGAAACGACUCUUGCGAGAGGCAUUGACGGUACUGUAUGAAUAAGCACCGGCUAACUCCGUGCCAGCCGCCGCGGUAAUAC